CCUACGGGAGGCAGCAGUGGGGGAUAUUGCACAAUGGGGGAAACCCUGAUGCAGCGACGCCGCGUGUGGGAAGACGGUCCUCUGGAUUGUACACCACUGUCCCCAGAGACGAAGAUGACGGUACCUGGGGAGGAAGCUCCGGCUAACUACGUGCCAGCAGCCGCGGUAAUACGUAGGGCGCGGGCGUUGUCCGGAAUUACUGGGUGUAAAGGGAGCGUAGGCGGGACUGCAAGUUGGGUGUCAAAUCUACCGGCUCAACCGGUAGCCGCACUCAAAACUGCAGUUCUUGAGGGAAGUAGAGGCAGGCGGAAUGCCUAGUGUAGCGGUGAAAUGCGUAGAUAUUAGGAGGAACACAAGUGGCGAAGGCGGCCUGCUGGGCUUGUACUGACGCGGAGGCUCGAAAGUGUGGGGAGCAAACAGGAUUAGAUACCCUGGUAGUC
rnacentral:rRNA from 1 species